ensembl:lncRNA
AGCACACGCCGGCAGUUUUCUAAUCGCUCUGUGCACCGUCGCGUGGGAUUACGGGGAUGAACUGUUUGCUCCGGAUGAAAAUUGAGUUUCUUAGGCAGGUUUGUCUCCCUGGGAGUGUGUGGGAGAAUGGCUCAGGCAGGUACACCAAAACCAAAACAGGAAGGAUGUCAAAUAGAUCGUCAUGUAGUCUAUGGAGGCUUCACCCUGCAAUCCACAUGACCCAAGCAAUCUGCUGCUAUGUCCUGGUGCCAGACACCACUAGACACCCCCUGUGCCCAUCCACUGAGCUGUUUUGGCAGAAUGAGG